UCCCAUCCCCCCCGUCACCCUCGAUUCCCUUCCCUCAGGCGGCUAGGCCGCACCAGACCGUAGUCCCCUCGAGCCGCUGCCUCCACGAGAACCCUGGCUAGGGUUGUUCCACCGCCGCCGUCUCCUCCAGCCCGCGGCUCGCCGGUGGCAAGCGCCUGAUCCCUUUACCGCAAGACGCCUCGGACUGAUCCAACAUCUCCACGCGCCGGAGCUCCGCCCAUGGAGAACACCCCCUCCACUCGACCCCAUCCUACGCUUCGGCUCCCGGACAGCUUUCGUCCUCUCCGCCGAUAAGCUCCCCCCGGCCUCCACCAUGGUGGCCGUCUCUCUUCCCGUCUUCGACCUCUCCCUGGGCCGUUACUAGGUCUGUCCCGCCGUCUUCGACACCAGCAAGGACCUCGGCUGGGCGAACACUGCCAGGGCGACGUGCUCCCCGCGCACGGCCAGGUCGACGGCGAAGGCCAGCCCCGUCGUGGCCUUGACCAGCGCCAGGGUCGUCCGGGCGGCAGCCGGCGAGGCGUGGGCCGCGGAGGCGGCGUGCAGAAUUGGUUGAUUUUGGAGGUCGAGUUGGGGCCGGGGUCGCCAGAUGCACGGCCGGGCGCAGGAAGAACGCGCGCCAGAUGACAUGGGCCUUGCUCCUCACGGGCGUGGCCUUCGCGCUCAGGUGUGGCGGGGAGAGUUUCGCCCGGGAAGAACACGCCCCUGUGUGCGAGCUUCUACGUCUGCAUCCGGGUGUUCCUCCAGCUGUCCAUGCUGCUGCUAGCCGAGUAGCCGUCAAGGUCGCGGCCUACAUCCAGGGGUGGCACAACGCCAUCGUACGGGCUCUUUGCCGCCGCCUACACCUGUUGGAUGUGUGUCCGCCUCGAGUGGCACUGCAGUUUAAUCAUGCCCAAGGGCAUCAAGCCCGUGCCUCAGGCGACAAGGAGGACGUUGAGGCCGGCAGGAGGACUUCCCAUGGUUCUCAUGGGCUGCCCAUGUGCAACGAGCGGGAGGAUCAAGUAAUCAAGUAGAAAGGAGUGUCAAAUUGUGAAAUUAUGUGCAAUGUUGAAUGUGGUGUUCAUGUUGACCUAGCUGAUCUUGGGGCGGGGAAGAGACCGUCUGGGGACAGAGGAAGUUAAUGUCACGGCGCUUCGACUCAACAGUGUCCUCGAGCCACGAGUGGCGGUCACUGUCGAUUGGAUGAGCUUCCCCGAUAGGCCAAUUGUUUUAUAAUAAAAGUUUGAGAAGCCAUGCGAAAUUCAGCUUAUAUGGAGGCUUUCCCAGUAGUAGGAUCAUAGGAGAACCUAUUGAGUUAUUUGCCAAAUUAAGUUACUGAUUUUACCUUGGCUUAGAUGUAUGGACUCGUGGUUGAAGCUGAACCAGUCCUAAGAGCUUCCAAAUAAGCUAAUCUUGAUAUGUCUUGCUCUUUCUGACAUUAUACUAUAAAGUUCUUCAAGACAACAGGAAGAGAUGGUUGGACUGCUCUGAUGUACUUCUUGCUGUUACUCUAGCUAAGAUUUUUUUUUCCAAUACAUGGUUAUCUGUAACACAUGCAAGCACUAAAGCUAUGCUUGCUGAUAACAAUUUCUGCACAGAUAUGUACAGUGCUUUGCUUGAACAUUCCUAAUGUUUACUUCUUGAGAAAACUUGGAAUCACAGUUGCCGUCAAAAGUGGCUGGAUCA